AGUCACACGUUAAUGAUACUGUGAUAUUCUUUAACAAUUAAAUAUACUAGUUUUUUCCGAAGCCAGACUGAUCAAUUUAAUGAAUUUCUUGCUAUUAGAAAAGUGAAACACCCAUAUCAUGUGCUUUGGUACUAAAAAAGUUUUUUUUUCCACUGAAAUAGUGUACACUUAUGACACUUAAAAGAAGACAGUUGCGUAGUUAAGACUUGAUGGAAGAAAGAGGAGAGGUACAAGCCAGUGCAGCUAGUUCAGCGAAAAAGAGCAGACCAAAAGUAUUCAUACGAAGCGAAGUUGAUUAGUUUGAUCUCUGAGAGAUUCAUAAAGAGGGAGGAAGUGGCUGUACUUCGACAUCCGUCAUUCGCGACGAACACCUUCUGCCCUUGAAUCUCAUCCUGACUGCGCAUCAGGCGCAGCCUGUACUGCAUCACAGACUUGGAG